rnacentral:rRNA from 1 species
GUGAACCUGCGGAAGGAUCAUUAUUGAAUAACUAUGGUGGGUUGUCGCUGGCUUCUUUGAAGCAAUGUGCACACCCACUGUUUUUAUCUAUCCCAUUGUGCACCAUUUGUAGUCUUUGAGGGGAGAGUGGUCAAGUGUGAGCUUUGGGCCCUCCUUUCAGGUCUAUGUCUUUUCCACAGACGUAUUUAUGGUCAUAGAAUGUAAUCAAUGGACCUUUGUGUCUAUGAAACUCUAUACAACUUUCAGCAACGGAUCUCUUGGCUCUCGCAUCGAUGAAGAACGCAGCGAAAUGCGAUAAGUAAUGUGAAUUGCAGAAUUCAGUGAAUCAUCGAAUCUUUGAACGCACCUUGCGCUUCUUGGUAUUCCGAGGAGCAUGCCUGUUUGAGUGUCAUUAAAUUCUCAAUCCAUUUCAGUUUGUAUACUGAUUGUGGUUUGGUAUUGGGGGGUUUGCAGGCCUUGUUAUAUUGAGGUCAGCUCUCCUGAAAUGCAUUAGCGGAACGGGUUUGCGGUCUGUCACUGGUGUGAUAAUUAUCUACACUAAGGCUGCUUUCUGCUUGUUCAGCUUCCAACUGUCCUCUGGACAGCUAUUGAACAUUUGACCUCAAAUCAGGUAGGACUACCCG